rnacentral:rRNA from 1 species
AUGCAUGUCUAGUAUAAGCACUUUAUACUGUGAACUGCGAAUGGCUCAUUAAAUCAGUUAUCGUUUAUUUGAUAGUACCUUACUACAUGGAUACCUGUGGUAAUUCUAGAGCUAAUACAUGCUACAAACCCCGACUUCAGGAAGGGGUGUAUUUAUUAGAUAAAAAACCAACGCCCUUCGGGGCUCCUUGGUGAAUCAUAAUAACUUAACGAAUCGCAUGGCCUUGCGCCGGCGAUGGUUCAUUCAAAUUUCUGCCCUAUCAACUUUCGAUGGUAGGAUAGUGGCCUACCAUGGUGGCAACGGGUAACGGGGAAUUAGGGUUCGAUUCCGGAGAGGGAGCCUGAGAAACGGCUACCACAUCCAAGGAAGGCAGCAGGCGCGCAAAUUACCCAAUCCCGAUACGGGGAGGUAGUGACAAUAAAUACUGAUACGGGGCUCUUUCGGGUCUCGUAAUUGGAAUGAGAACAAUUUAAAUCCCUUAACGAGGAACAAUUGGAGGGCAAGUCUGGUGCCAGCAGCCGCGGUAAUUCCAGCUCCAAUAGCGUAUAUUAAAGUUGUUGCAGUUAAAAAGCUCGUAGUUGAACCUUGGGCCUGGCUGGCCGGUCCGCCUCACCGCGAGUACUGGUCCGGCUGGGCCUUUCCUUCUGGGGAACCUCAUGGCCUUCACUGGCUGUGGGGGGAACCAGGACUUUUACUGUGAAAAAAUUAGAGUGUUCAAAGCAGGCCUUUGCUCGAAUACAUUAGCAUGGAAUAAUAGAAUAGGACGUGCGGUUCUAUUUUGUUGGUUUCUAGGACCGCCGUAAUGAUUAAUAGGGAUAGUCGGGGGCGUCAGUAUUCAGCUGUCAGAGGUGAAAUUCUUGGAUUUGCUGAAGACUAACUACUGCGAAAGCAUUCGCCAAGGAUGUUUUCAUUAAUCAGGGAACGAAAGUUAGGGGAUCGAAGACGAUCAGAUACCGUCGUAGUCUUAACCAUAAACUAUGCCGACUAGGGAUCGGACGGGAUUCUAUGAUGACCCGUUCGGCACCUUACGAGAAAUCAAAGUUUUUGGGUUCUGGGGGGAGUAUGGUCGCAAGGCUGAAACUUAAGAAAUUGACGGAAGGGCACCACAAGGCCUGGAGCCUGCGGCUUAAUUUGACUCAACCGGGGAAACUCACCGGGUCCGACCAAAUAGGGUUGGAAGAUUGGAAGCCCUUUCUGGACCUUUGGAGGGGGGGGCAGGCCCUUCUUAAUUGGGGAAGGAUUUGUCUGUUUAUUUGCAAUACGAAAGGAACCCCGGCCCUUAAAAACCCGGGCCCAAUUUGGGGCCGGUGGUUUUUUAGGGGAAAUUCGGCUCAAGCCAAGGGAAGGCCCGGAAAUAAAGGUUUGGAAGCCC